rnacentral:lncRNA from 1 species
GAUUGCUCAGAUCUGAUCUGAUUGGGGAAAAAAACCAAUGUAGAAUCUAGCUUCUUCCCUGUUAUAAUCUUGUGACAAUUUGUUACUCUGAAUUAUGUUAAAUUUCAGUUGGUGGGGUGAUGGCGUUCCUAACAUUGCAUGAAAUGCUGCCAUUGGCAUUUGAUUAUGCGGGCCAGAAGCAAGCUGUCAAGGCUGUUUUCUUGGGAAUGGCUUUCAUGUCUGCAAGGUAAUAAAAUUCAUGGCAAAGUGUACGCUGUUUCAGAAAACAGUUCAAAAGCUUCUUGUUUUCAUUGCUUAGCUCAUAUGCACAUGCAAUUCAAAUUGUCGUUCAAAUUCUGGUUUUCACAAGGAGAGAUUAAAAUCACGCAAAGCGUGUUUUUUAACUCAUAUGUUGAAAAAAACUAUAACUACUUGCCUCAUGGGGAAAGGGAUUAUUAAUGCAAGCAAGCACAUGAUAACCGCAAUAGCCAGGCAAAUAACUUUAGCAGAACUAUGUAGUAAAUUGUACUUGUAUAAAUUCCUAUGGGUUUAUUUUGCUGGUUAGUUUCCAAUCACAUUUCACUAAUUUGCAUUUUCCUGUUUAUUAUUAUUAUUUUUUUCUCAUGAACAAAUCUUUUACAUAUCUCUGCUAUGGUUUUGCCUGCAGCCUAUACUUUCUUGAGCUAAGCUUACCUGAGGAGAUGAGCUUGUAGCUUCUUUCCCUGAAACAAUCAACAAAGUGUUGUAAAUUCCAAAAUCAUGGUGUCUGCUUUUGCUUUUGAUAGUGAUGGCUUUCUCUGAGUGUUAGCAAAAUGCUGAGAAGACUUACUUUGGAUCGAUCUUGAGAAAAAGGAUGAAGACGUCAGUAUGUAAUGUACAAAAUUUCAAUUUAUUUCUUUAACGAAAUGAAAAUUGAAAAGGAAUAGA